AGCGGCGGACGGGUGAGUAAUGCCUGGGAAAUUGCCCUGAUGUGGGGGAUAACCAUUGGAAACGAUGGCUAAUACCGCAUAAUAGCUUCGGCUCAAAGAGGGGGACCUUCGGGCCUCUCGCGUCAGGAUAUGCCCAGGUGGGAUUAGCUAGUUGGUGAGGUAAGGGCUCACCAAGGCAACGAUCCCUAGCUGGUCUGAGAGGAUGAUCAGCCACACUGGAACUGAGACACGGUCCAGACUCCUACGGGAGGCAGCAGUGGGGAAUAUUGCACAAUGGGCGCAAGCCUGAUGCAGCCAUGCCGCGUGUAUGAAGAAGGCCUUCGGGUUGUAAAGUACUUUCAGCAGUGAGGAAGGUUCAUACGUUAAUAGCGUAUGGAUUUGACGUUAGCUGCAAA
rnacentral:rRNA from 1 species